rnacentral:rRNA from 1 species
UACGAAGGGUGCAACCGUUGCUCGGAAUUAUUGGGCGUAAAGCGCACGUAGGCGGCUAUCUAAGUCGGAUGUGAAAUCCCUCGGCUUAACCAAGGAAGUGCACCCGAAACUGGAUAGCUUGAGUACAGAAGAGGAUCGCGGAAUUCCCGGUGUAGAGGUGAAAUUCGUAGAUAUCGGGAGGAACACCAGUGGCGAAGGCGGCGAUCUGGGCUGAUACUGACGCUGAGGUGCGAAAGCGUGGGGAGCAAACAGG